CAGGAUGAACGCUAGCGGCAGGCUUAACACAUGCAAGUCGAGGGGCAGCGAGAUGUAGCAAUACAUUGUCGGCGACCGGCGCACGGGUGCGUAACGCGUAUGCAACCUACCAUAUACAGGAGGAUAACCAUUCGAAAGAAUGACUAAUACUCCAUAGUAUAUUUUGAGGCAUCUUAGAAUAAUUAAAGAAUUUCGGUAUAUGCUGGGCAUGCGUGACAUUAGCUAGUUGGAGAGGUAACGGCUCACCAAGGCUACGAUGUCUAGGGGUUUUGAGAGGAAGAUCCCCCACACUGGUACUGAGACACGGACCAGACUCCUACGGGAGGCAGCAGUGAGGAAUAUUGGUCAAUGGACGGAAGUCUGAACCAGCCAUGCCGCGUGAAGGAAGACUGCCCUAUGGGUUGUAAACUUCUUUUAUACGGGGAUAAACCUAUCUUUGCGAAGAUAGCUGAAGGUACCGUAUGAAUAAGCAUCGGCUAACUCCGUGCCAGCCGCCGC
rnacentral:rRNA from 1 species